UACGUAGGUGGCAAGCGUUAUCCGGAUUUAUUGGGCGUAAAGGGAACGCAGGCGGUCUUUUAAGUCUGAUGUGAAAGCCUUCGGCUUAACCGGAGUAGUGCAUUGGAAACUGGGAGACUUGAGUGCAGAAGAGGAGAGUGGAACUCCAUGUGUAGCGGUGGAAUGCGUAGAUAUAUGGAAGAACACCAGUGGCGAAGGCGGCUGUCUGGUCUGCAACUGACGCUGAGGCUCGAAAGUGCGGGAAUCAAACAGG
rnacentral:rRNA from 1 species